CCUACGGGAGGCAGCAGCUAAGAAUCUUCCGCAAUGGGGGAAACCCUGACGGAGCGACGCCGCGUGGACGAAGAAGGCCGCAAGGUUGUAAAGUCCUUUUGCAGGCGAAGAAUAAGCAGGGGAGUGGAACGCUCCUGCGAUGACGUUAGCUUGCGAAUAAGCCCCGGCCAAUUACGUGCCAGCAGCCGCGGUAACACGUAUGGGGCGAGCGUUGUUCGGAAUUACUGGGCAUAAAGGGCGUGUAGGCGGUUCGGGAAGCCUGGCGUGAAAGGCACCGGCUCAACCGGUGGAUGGCGCUGGGAACUGUCGGACUGGAGUUCUGGAGGGGGAGCUGGAAUUCCUGGUGUAGGGGUGAAAUCUGUAGAGAUCAGGAAGAACACCGGUGGCGAAGGCGAGCUCCUGGCCAGUGACUGACGCUGAGGCGCGAAAGCGUGGGGAGCAAACAGGAUUAGAUACCCUGGUAGUCCACGCUGUAAACGAUGUGCACUAGGUGUUGGUGCCGUACGGGCAUCGGUGCCGUAGCUAAGGCGUUAAGUGCACCGCCUGGGGAGUAUGCUCGCAAGGGUGAAACUCAAAGGAAUUGACGG
rnacentral:rRNA from 1 species